rnacentral:rRNA from 1 species
GACGAACGCUGGCGGCGUGCCUAAUACAUGCAAGUUGAGCGCUGAAGGUUGGUACUUGUACCGACUGGAUGAGCAGCGAACGGGUGAGUAACGCGUGGGGAAUCUGCCUUUGAGCGGGGGACAACAUUUGGAAACGAAUGCUAAUACCGCAUAAAAACUUUAAACACAAGUUUUAAGUUUGAAAGAUGCAAUUGCAUCACUCAAAGAUGAUCCCGCGUUGUAUUAGCUAGUUGGUGAGGUAAAGGCUCACCAAGGCGAUGAUACAUAGCCGACCUGAGAGGGUGAUCGGCCACAUUGGGACUGAGACACGGCCCAAACUCCUACGGGAGGCAGCAGUAGGGAAUCUUCGGCAAUGGACGAAAGUCUAACCGAGCAACGCCGCGUGAGUGAAGAAGGUUUUCGGAUCGUAAAACUCUGUUGGUAGAGAAGAACGUUGGUGAGAGUGGAAAGCUCAUCAAGUGACGGUAACUACCCAGAAAGGGACGGCUAACUACGUG